UCACGAUUCAUGAAAUCAUAAUUGGAAGAAAUCAAGUCAUAUAAAACAUAUGAUCAUGGCUUUGAAUUCCCUUCUAACUAUAAAGAAAUUAGUUCCUCAUGUUCGCAAAUACACAAAGACAAAUAAAUUUAAACGUUGACAUAAAGAUAGAAAACACCUAGAAACGCUCCACAACCCACGCUCCUUGAAUGGCAUGCACGGCUCCAAGUUGUCUUCCUUCUUCUCCUUGCAAAUUCACGGCACAAGAGGUAUGAAUGGUGAAUGGUGUAGUGAAAAUCUGGUAGAGGGUGGUGAAUGAAUAGGUGCGGCAAGGCCUUGUAUUUAUAGGCUGAAAAUCCCAUCUCCUAGGUAGCAAAGGACAAGGUUUUAAAGGCCUAAAUUGCAUAGGAUAAUAACAUCCAAUCCUAUAAGGAAAACAAGUCAAAAACCCAAAGGGAUUGGGAGAUAAUGUGCAGCAGAAAGAGUGUGGAAAGAUAAGGCUUCUAGAAACCAAAAAUCCCAAGGGAAAUAGGAAUUAGGUGCGGCAAGGCAGAUUUUUAGGCUUCUAGAAAGGUUCCUAGGUGUCAUCUUGGUAGGAUAAGAUAAGGUCUUCUAGAAAUCCCAUUUUAAGCAUCCUAAUCUAAUUAGAAACCCUCCUAACUGG
rnacentral:lncRNA from 1 species